CGUGCAGGCGGUUUGAUAAGUUGGAUGUGAAAGCUCCCGGCUCAACUGGGAGAGGUCAUUCAAUACUGUCAGACUUGAGGAUGGUAGAGGGAGGUGGAAUUCCGGGUGUAGUGGUGAAAUGCGCAGAUAUCCGGAGGAACACCAGUGGCGAAAGCGGCCUCCUGGACCAUUCCUGACGCUCAGACGCGAAAGCUAGGGUAGCGAACG
rnacentral:rRNA from 1 species